AUGGUAAAGAGACUGUCACGCUUCAACUUGCACAAGAAUAUAGUUAUCUUCAUCCUCUCAAACUCAAAACCGCGGCGGCCAAGCUUCAAGUCCGAUGUUCCUUCUCUCGUCUCUGUUCGACACUGCGAAUCAGGGUGUUCAAACUCGGUCUUCUUCCCUUGCCUUCCACUGUCUUCUUCUUCAACCGCUCACUUUCAUCGCUCUGUCUCUCUCUUUCAAUCGCUUCUGGCCAUUAUUCUGAAACUCGUUCACUAUUUCAACUAUUGUGAUGCAAGUGGCAGAGAAAACCAGGACACUGAGGUAUUCCUCUUCCCUUUUAAUUCUCUUCUUCUUCAUCUUAAGUCUCGGUUCUCUCUUCGAGCUUAG